rnacentral:rRNA from 1 species
CCUACGGGAGGCUGCAGUGGGGAAUAUUGCGCAAUGGGCGAAAGCCUGACGCAGCGACGCCGCGUGAAGGAUGAAGGUCUUCGGAUCGUAAACCACUGUCAGCAGGGAAGAACGGUCACUGUGCUAAUCAGCAGUGAAUUGACGGUACCUGCAAAGGAAGCACCGGCUAACUCCGUGCCAGCAGCCGCGGUAAUACGGAGGGUGCGAGCGUUAAUCGGAAUUACUGGGCGUAAAGCGCGCGUAGGCGGUAUGUCAAGUCAAGGGUGAAAUCCCCGCGCUCAACGUGGGAACUGCCUUUGAAAAUGGCAAACUGGGGUGUGUGGGAGGAUAGUGGAAAUCCAGGGGUAUGAGUG